UACGUAGGGUGCGAGCGUUAAUCGGAAUUACUGGGCGUAAAGCGUGCGCAGGCGGUUCGUUAAGUCAGCUGUGAAAGCCCCCGGGCUCAACCUGGGAAUUGCGGUUGAAACUGGCGAACUAGAAUCUGGCAGAGGGGGGUGGAAUUCCACGUGUAGCAGUGAAAUGCGUAGAGAUGUGGAGGAACACCGAUGGCGAAGGCAGCCCCCCUGGGCUGAGAUUGACGCUCAGGCACGAAAGCGUGGGGAGCAAACAGGG
rnacentral:rRNA from 1 species